rnacentral:lncRNA from 1 species
AUACUGACAGGCUGCUACCAGGUUUCUCUGGAGACUUCUCUUCUCCAGGCUGAACAGCCCCACCUCUUUCAGCCUGACCUCAUAGUGGAGGUGUUCCAUUCCUUGGAUCAUUUUUGUGGCCUUCCUCUGGGUGUGUUCCAACAGAUCCAUGUCUCUCCUGUACUGAGGACUCCACAUUUGGAUGCAGUACUCCAGGCUGGAAGAGCCCUGUUCCUUCAACUACUCCUCAGAGCCCAAGUCCUCCAGGCCCUGACUACAUUAGCGGCAAUGUGCAAAAGUUGCUGCAUCCCAAAAAGAACAGAAUAUUCAAGAUGCAGAAUCCAGCCAUGUCCACUGUCCUGCAGCAUGUCCCUUUGAACGUCAGCUUUGCUCCAUGCACACAGAUUUCUUCCUUCAGGCAAACCUGAGAGAGAAAUCAAGCCAUAACGACCAUCUUCUAGAAAAUGCAGAUCUGUUUGCAAAAUAAGAGGACUGCUCUGAAGGUAAUGCCUCCUAUUUUAUAAUGUUGGCUCAUAAUAUCAGAGGCGGAUGUUGGUGGUACAACAACAGAGGCUGAACCUUCUCACCAGCAUUCUGUUACAUGUUGUUGCUGAGUGACAGAUGGCAGCAGUGGGGCAAA